rnacentral:rRNA from 1 species
GUAGGUGGCAAGCGUUGUCCGGAAUUAUUGGGCGUAAAGCGCGCGCAGGCGGUUCUUUAAGUCUGAUGUGAAAGCCCACGGGCUCAACCGUGGAGGGUCAUUGGAAACUGGAGAACUUAAGUACAGAAGAGGAAAGCGGAAUUCCACGUGUAGCGGUGAAAUGCGUAGAGAUGUGGAGGAACACCAGUGGCGAAGGCGGCUUUCUGGUCUGUAACUGACGCUGAGGCGCGAAAGCGUGGGGAGCAAACAGGAUUAGAUACCCUGGUAGUCCACGCCGUAAACGAUGAGUGCUAAGUGUUAGGGGGUUUCCGCCCCUUAGUGCUGCAGCUAACGCAUUAAGCACUCCGCCUGGGGAGUACGGCCGCAAAGGCUG